GACGAACGCUGGCGGCGUGCUUAACACAUGCAAGUCGAACGGAAAGGCCCUGCUUUGGUGGGGUGCUCGGGGGGCGACGGGGGGAGUAACACGUGAGUAACGUGCACUUGACUUUGGGAUAACUUCAGGAAACAGGGGCUAAUACGGGGUAGGAUCACUUGCUUCAAGGUGGGGGUGGGAAAGUUUCGGUGGUUGGGGGUGGACUCGCGGCUUAUCAGCUUGUUGGUGGGGUAGGGGCUUACCAAGGCUUUGACGGGUAGCCGGCCUGAGAGGGGGACCGGCCACAUUGGGACUGAGAUACGGCCCAGACUCCUACGGGAGGCAGCAGUGGGGAAUAUUGCACAAUGGGCGGAAGCCAGAUGCAGCGACGCCGCGUGCGGGAUGACGGCCUUCGGGUUGUAAACCGCUUUCGCCUGUGACGAAGCGUGAGUGACGGUAAUGGGUAAAGAAGCACCGGCUAACUACGUG
rnacentral:rRNA from 1 species